AUGAACGCUAGCGGCAGGCUUAACACAUGCAAGUCGAGGGGUAUAGUUCUUCGGAACUAGAGACCGGCGCACGGGUGCGUAACGCGUAUGCAAUCUACCUUUUACAGCGGGAUAGCCCAGAGAAAUUUGGAUUAAUACCUCAUAGUAUGAUACAAUCGCAUGAUUGAAUCAUUAAAGUCACAACGGUAAAAGAUGAGCAUGCGUCCCAUUAGCUAGUUGGUAAGGUAACGGCUUACCAAGGCAACGAUGGGUAGGGGUCCUGAGAGGGAGAUCCCCCACACUGGUACUGAGACACGGACCAGACUCCUACGGGAGGCAGCAGUGAGGAAUAUUGGACAAUGGGCGCAAGCCUGAUCCAGCCAUGCCGCGUGCAGGAUGACGGUCCUAUGGAUUGUAAACUGCUUUUGUACAGGAAGAACACUCCCUCGUGAGGGAGCUUGACGGUACUGUAAGAAUAACGAUCGGCUAACUCCGUGCCAGCAGCCGCGGUAAUACGGAGGAUCCAAGCGUUAUCCGGAAUCAUUGGGUUUUAAGGGUCCGUAGGCGGUCUUAUAAGUCAGUGGUGAAAUCUCCCCGCUCAACGGGGAAACGGCCAUUGAUACUGUAGGACUUGAAUUAUUAGGAAGUAACUAGAAUAUGUAGUGUAGCGGUGAAAUGCUUAGAGAUUACAUGGAAUACCAAUUGCGAAGGCAGGUUACUACUAAUGGAUUGACGCUGAUGGACGAAAGCGUGGGUAGCGAACAGGAUUAGAUACCCUGGUAGUCCACGCCGUAAACGAUGGAUACUAGCUGUUGGGCGCAAGUUCAGUGGCUAAGCGAAAGUGAUAAGUAUCCCACCUGGGGGAGUACGUUCGCAAGAAUGAAACUCAAAGGAAUUGACGGGGGCCCGCACAAGCGGUGGAGCAUGUGGUUUAAUUCGAUGAUACGCGAGGAACCUUACCAAGGCUUAAAUGUAGAUUGACCGUUUUGGAAACAGAACUUUCGCAAGACAAUUUACAAGGUGCUGCAUGGUUGUCGUCAGCUCGUGCCGUGAGGUGUCAGGUUAAGUCCUAUAACGAGCGCAACCCCUGUUGUUAGUUGCCAGCGAGUCAAGUCGGGAACUCUAACAAGACUGCCAGUGUAAACUGUGAGGAAGGUGGGGAUGACGUCAAAUCAUCACGGCCCUUACGCCUUGGGCUACACACGUGCUACAAUGGCCGGUACAGAGAGCAGCCACUACGUGAGUAGGAGCGAAUCUAUAAAACCGGUCACAGUUUCGGAUCGGAGUCUGCAACUCGACUCCGUGAAG
rnacentral:rRNA from 1 species